GCCGGGAUAGCUCAGUUGGUAGAGCAGGGGACUGAAAAUCCUCGUGUCACCAGUUCCAAAAUAAGGGGG
rnacentral:tRNA from 1 species